UUUAAUUCGACGCAACGCGAAGAACCUUACCAGGGCUUGACACUCCCUGACCGCGUAUGAAAGUACGUUUUCACCCUCGGGUGACAGGGAGACAGGUGGUGCAUGGUUGUCGUCAGCUCGUGUCGUGAGAUGUUGGGUUAAGUCCCGCAACGAGCGCAACCCCUACGUUUAGUUGCUAACGCGUGAAGGCGAGCACUCUAGACGAACUGCCGUUGACAAAACGGAGGAAGGUGGGGAUGACGUCAAAUCAUCAUGCCCCUUAUGUUCUGGGCUACACACGUGCCACAAUGGCCGGUACAGACGGACGCAAAGCCGCGAGGUGGAGCAAAUCCUAAAAAGCCGGUCUCAGUUCGGAUUGCAGGCUGCAAUUCGCCUGCAUGAAGUCGGAAUCGCUAGUAAUCGCAGGUCAGCAUACUGCGGUGAAUACGUUCCCGGGCCUU
rnacentral:rRNA from 1 species